rnacentral:rRNA from 1 species
UUUAUGGAGAGUUUGAUCCUGGCUCAGGAUGAACGCUGGCGGCGUGCCUAAUACAUGCAAGUCGAGCGAACAGACGAGGAGCUUGCUCCUC